rnacentral:rRNA from 1 species
AGAGUUUGAUCCUGGCUCAGGAUGAACGCUGGCGGCGUGCUUAACACAUGCAAGUCGAACGAACCUUCGGGUUAGUGGCGGACGGGUGAGUAACGCGUGAGAAUCUGCCCUCAGGAGGGGGAUAACGGUUGGAAACGACCGCUAAUACCCCAUAUGCCUACUGGUGAAAUGAAUUUCGCCUGAGGAUGAGCUCGCGUCUGAUUAGCUAGUUGGUGAGGUAAUGGCUCACCAAGGCUUCGAUCAGUAGCUGGUCUGAGAGGAUGAUCAGCCACACUGGGACUGAGACACGGCCCAGACUCCUACGGGAGGCAGCAGUGGGGAAUUUUCCGCAAUGGGCGAAAGCCUGACGGAGCAACGCCGCGUGAGGGACGAAGGCCUCUGGGCUGUAAACCUCUUUUCUCAAGGAAGAAGAUAUGACGGUACUUGAGGAAUAAGCCACGGCUAAUUCCGUGCCAGCAGCCGCGGUAAUACGGGAGUGGCAAGCGUUAUCCGGAAUUAUUGGGCGUAAAGCGUCCGCAGGCGGCUUUUCAAGUCUGCUGUUAAAGCGUGGAGCUUAACUCCAUCAUGGCAGUGGAAACUGAAAGGCUUGAGUAUGGUAGGGGCAGAGGGAAUUCCCGGUGUAGCGGUGAAAUGCGUAGAUAUCGGGAAGAACACCAGUGGCGAAGGCGCUCUGCUGGGCCAUUACUGACGCUCAUGGACGAAAGCCAGGGGAGCGAAAGGGAUUAGAUACCCCCUGUAGUCCUGGCCGUAAACGAUGAACACUAGGUGUCGGGGGAAUCGACCCCUUCGGUGUCGUAGCUAACGCGUUAAGUGUUCCGCCUGGGGAGUACGCACGCAAGUGUGAAACUCAAAGGAAUUGACGGGGGCCCGCACAAGCGGUGGAGUAUGUGGUUUAAUUCGAUGCAACGCGAAGAACCUUACCAGGGUUUGACAUCCUGCGAACCUCUUAGAAAUUUGAGGGUGCCUUCGGGAAUGCAGUGACAGGUGGUGCAUGGCUGUCGUCAGCUCGUGUCGUGAGAUGUUGGGUUAAGUCCCGCAACGAGCGCAACCCACGUCUUUAGUUGCCAGCAUUCAGUUGGGCACUCUAGAGAGACCGCCGGUGAUAAACCGGAGGAAGGUGUGGAUGACGUCAAGUCAUCAUGCCCCUUACAUCCUGGGCUACACACGUACUACAAUGCUACGGACAAAGGGCAGCAAGUUCGCGAGGACAAGCAAAUCCCAUAAACCGUGGCUCAGUUCAGAUCGUAGGCUGCAACUCGCCUACGUGAAGGAGGAAUCGCUAGUAAUCGCAGGUCAGCAUACUGCGGUGAAUACGUUCCCGGGCCUUGUACACACCGCCCGUCACACCAUGGAAGUUGGCCACGCCCGAAGCCGUUACUCCAACCCUUGUGGAGGAGGACGUCGAAGGUGGGGCUGAUGACUGGGGUGAAGUCAUAACAAGGUAGCCGUA